GACGAACGCUGGCGGCGUGCUUAACACAUGCCAGUCGAACGGAAAGGCCUGCUUUCCCUUGUGGAUUGCGGGUACUCGAGUGGCGAACGGGUGAGUAACACGUGAGUGAUCUGCCCCCAACUUGGGUAUAAGCCUGGGAAACUGGGUCUAAUUCCCGAUAGGACUGCAGGGUGGUGCCUGUGGUGGAAAACGAUUUUCUAGUGGUUGGGGAUGAGCUCGCGGCCUAUCAGCUUGUUGGUGGGGUAAUGGCCUACCAAGGCGGCGACGGGUAGCCGGCCUGAGAGGGUGGACGGCCACAUUGGGACUGAGAUACGGCCCAGACUCCUACGGGAGGCAGCAGUGGGGAAGAUUGCACAAUGGGCGGAAGCCUGAUGCAGCGACGCCGCGUGGGGGAUGACGGCCUUCGGGUUGUAAACUCCUUUCGACCGCGAGGAAGCCACCUGGUUGGAAGGGUGGUGACGGUAGUGGUAGAAGAAGCACCGGCUAACUACGUG
rnacentral:rRNA from 1 species